GGGUUGUGAGGUUAAGCGACUAAGCGUACACGGUGGAUGCCCUGGCAGUCAGAGGCGAUGAAGGGCGUGCUAAUCUGCGAUAAGCGCCGGUAAGGUGAUAUGAACCGUUAUAACCGGCGAUACCCGAAUGGGGAAACCCAGUGUGAUUCGUCACACUAUCAUUAACUGAAUCCAUAGGUUAAUGAGGCGAACCGGGGGAACUGAAACAUCUAAGUACCCCGAGGAAAAGAAAUCAACCGAGAUUCCCCCAGUAGCGGCGAGCGAACGGGGAGGAGCCCAGAGCCUGAAUCAGCAUGUGUGUUAGUGGAAGCGUCUGGAAAGGCGCGCGAUACAGGGUGACAGCCCCGUACACAAAAGCGCAUGUGCUGUGAGCUCGAUGAGUAGGGCGGGACACGUGAUAUCCUGUCUGAAUAUGGGGGGACCAUCCUCCAAGGCUAAAUACUCCUGACUGACCGAUAGUGAACCAGUACCGUGAGGGAAAGGCGAAAAGAACCCCGGCGAGGGGAGUGAAAAAGAACCUGAAACCGUGUACGUACAAGCAGUGGGAGCACCCUUUUGGGUGUGACUGCGUACCUUUUGUAUAAUGGGUCAGCGACUUAUAUUCUGUAGCAAGGUUAACCGAAUAGGGGAGCCGGAGGGAAACCGAGUCUUAACCGGGCGUUAAGUUGCAGGGUAUAGACCCGAAACCCGGUGAUCUAGCCAUGGGCAGGUUGAAGGUUGGGUAACACUAACUGGAGGACCGAACCGACUAAUGUUGAAAAAUUAGCGGAUGACCUGUGGCUGGGGGUGAAAGGCCAAUCAAACCGGGAGAUAGCUGGUUCUCCCCGAAAGCUAUUUAGGUAGCGCCUCGUGAAUUCAUCUCCGGGGGUAGAGCACUGUUUCGGCUAGGGGGCCAUCCCGGCUUACCAACCCGAUGCAAACUGCGAAUACCGGAGAAUGUUAUCACGGGAGACACACGGCGGGUGCUAACGUCCGUCGUGAAGAGGGAAACAACCCAGACCGCCAGCUAAGGUCCCAAAGUCAUGGUUAAGUGGGAAACGAUGUGGGAAGGCCCAGACAGCCAGGAUGUUGGCUUAGAAGCAGCCAUCAUUUAAAGAAAGCGUAAUAGCUCACUGGUCGAGUCGGCCUGCGCGGAAGAUGUAACGGGGCUAAACCAUGCACCGAAGCUGCGGCAGCGACACUGUGUGUUGUUGGGUAGGGGAGCGUUCUGUAAGCCUGUGAAGGUGGCCUGUGAGGG
rnacentral:rRNA from 1 species